AGGGAGAGCAGAAAAAGGAAAUUCUGAUAAAAGCAUCAGUCCACCAUGGGACACUCUUUGCUGUAACUUCACAGCGUUUGCUGCCUCCGGUAUUUGUUCACUUGGUGUUUUCUCUACAUUUCAAGUAACAUGCAGAAGUGCCAAGAUGAUUUGCUCUUCUUGGAGGUAUGACUCAAGGAACACCCAACAACCAAGAUCCUCGCUGCUAUAUAAAAAUGGCAUGAUUAACACAAAUUGGCUGCUUACCGGCUCUACGAAAAGAACUGUUGCUGCAGCUCCCAGCAGGAGCCCAGUGGAUAACUUUUAAAAGUGAUCCCAUGAAAGUGGUGGCCAAAGUGGUGAUGGAGGAGGAAAUGAAGUGGAUCCCAGUGCCUGAUGUGGGAUGGUUGCAAAAGUGGAAGAAAAAAGGCAUUGAUGAAAACAUGUGCACAGACAAUAUUAGGGAUGAGAUCCGCUUGUCGGUGCAUGUUCAACUGCAUUCUGUCAAACUGGCAGGCGGUUCCAUUUCAGCAGCAGCAUUACUCUGUGAAACUUCUGUGGUACCUUACUGCAUUAUACUACUCCAGGAAUCCUCAGCUCAUCUUAUUUAUAGACUGUAGCAAAAGUAUCAAACAGCAGCAAGACUUCCCUUCCUCAUCAGUGGGUGCAUCUCCAUCUCAUGAAGCUGAUAAUAAAGCUUUAUUAUUAACUGUAACAUUAUUGUU